rnacentral:lncRNA from 1 species
AUCCAUGAGAAGACACAGUGUUCCAUCCAGAGGAUGUAGCAUCAAGGCGUCAUCUUAAAAGCAGAGAAAAGACUCUUACUUGACACCAGAUGCCAGUGCAUUGAUCUUGGACUUCCCAGCCUCUAGAACUAAUGCUGGUAGCUGUGUAAUUAGGCAAGUUCUUCUCUGCUAUUUUAAGAAAAAGACUUCAUAGAAAAAUUUAGUUCAGCCUGGUGUGGAUGCAUUUCAGAAUCUGUGAAAAAUGGAAUCACAAUGCUGUGACAGCAGCAUUUCUGCCUGUGGUAUCUGUGAAGCAGGUAAACAGCCCUGGGACAAAGAACAGACUACGGGUAUUGCCUUCUUAAUCAACAAUAAAGUAUUAGUUGGCUUCCAGGCAGACACCACUGACUUUCAAGAGAAAGGCACGGGAGUAAGGAAGUAAAGAAUUCAGGGCAAACGUCGAGCUUUCCUCUGGGCUCCAAUGUAAAAGAAGUGGAUAGCGGCUGACUAGUGUACAUAUUAUGUAUGCAGACUUUGAAGGAAUCCCCCUUGUUUUUAGCUGUUCUUCCAUUGCUCCUGGAGACUCUGAGCUCAGAGAUUUUCUAGGCUCUGAUGGGCAGAGUGGCUCGUUUCCUCCCUGAAGUUUCCUUCAUGCCACAUUCUGGAUUACAACCUCCUCCAAAGAGUGUCAUCUGUCAAUAUAAUGUCAUCUCUUGA